GAAAGGCAGAGGCAGAGAGACAGAGAGGCAGAGGCAGAGAGACAGAGAGGCAGAGGCAGAGAGGUAGAAAGGCAGAGGCAGAGAGGCAGAGGGGCAGAGGCAGAGAGACAGAGAGGCAGAGGCAGAGAGGCAGAGGGGCAGAGGCAGAGAGACAGAGAGGCAGAGGCAGAGAGGUAGAAAGGCAGAGGCAGAGAGGCAGAGAGGAAGAGAAGCAGAGGAGCAGAGGCAGAGAGGUAGAGAGGCAGAGAGGCAGAGGGGCAGAGGGGCAGAGGUAGAGAGACAGAGAGGCAGAGAGGUAGAAAGGCAGAGGCAGAGAGACAGAGAGGUAGAGAGGUAGAAAGGCAGAGACAGAGAGGCAGAGGCAGAGAGGUAGAAAGGCAGAGGCAGAGAGACAGAGAGGCAGAGGCAGAGAGACAGAGAGGCAGAGGCAGAGAGACAGAGAGGCAGAGGCAGAGAGGUAGAAAGGCAGAGGCAGAGAGGCAGAGGGGCAGAGGCAGAGAGACAGAGAGGCAGAGGCAGAGAGGUAGAAAGGCAGAGGCAGAGAGGCAGAGAGGAAGAGAAGCAGAGGAGCAGAGGCAGAGAGGUAGAGAGGCAGAGAGGCAGAGGGGCAGAGGGGCAGAGGUAGAGAGACAGAGAGGCAGAGAGGUAGAAAGGCAGAGGCAGAGAGACAGAGAGGUAGAGAGGUAGAAAGGCAGAGGCAGAGAGGCAGAGGCAGAGAGGUAGAAAGGCAGAGGCAGAGAGACAGAGAGGCAGAGGCAGAGAGACAGAGAGGCAGAGGCAGAGAGGUAGAAAGGCAGAGGCAGAGAGACAGAGACAGAGAGGCAGAGAGACAGAGAGGCAGAGGCAGAGAGGUAGAGAGACAGAGAGGCAGAGAGGCAGAGAGGCAGAGGCAGAGAGGUAGAAAGGUAGAGAAGCAGAGAGGCAGAGAGGCAGAGAGGCAGAGGCAGAAGCAGAGAGGCAGAGGCAGAGAGGUAGAGAGGCAGAGAGACAGAGAGACAGAGAGGCAGAGAGGCAGAGGCAGAGAGACAGAGAGGCAGAGGCAGAGAGGUAGGAAGGCAGAGGCAGAGAGACAGAGACAGAGAGGCAGAGAGACAGAGAGGCAGAGACAGAGAGGCAGAGAGGCAGAGGGGCAGAGAGACAGAGAGGCAGAGAGGCAGACAAGCAGAGGGGCAGAGGCAGAGAGACAGAGAGGCAGAGAGGUAGAAAGGCAGAGGCAGAGAGACAGAGAGGUAGAGAGGUAGAAAGGCAGAGACAGAGAGGCAGAGGUAGAGAGACAGAGAGGCAGAGGGGCAGAGGCAGAGAGGUAGAGAGGCAGAGAGGCAGAAAGGCAGAGAGACAGAGAGGCAGAGACAGAGAGGCAGAAGU